rnacentral:lncRNA from 1 species
UAAUAGAAAUUAAACUAAUUAAAGAUUUUAAUCGAUUAAUUAAGUUCAAAGAGAAAAUUACAGUUUAAUGUAUUUAUGCAUGGUUAUACUACAUUGCCACUAAAACCAACUUACUGUAAAAAUUACAGCAAGAAACGUUACAUACAUUUCAACUAUUCCAAACCAAAUCCAAGCAUUUUCAAAUAUUUCUAUGAAAAGCAAAAUGAGAAGGCAAUAAUAAACAGGUUACUCGUAAUACAACACACCCAAUCCCCACCCUUGGCUCAUGAUGCGUCCAGAAUUCAUACAAAAACAAAACCGUUUUCCCGGCACCAAAACAUAAACAAACCCAAAAUUCCAUAACCGAAAUCAGGAGGUAUGCAAUCAACAGAGCAAACUUAUCUUCAUAGCUUUACAAUCAUCACUAUUUUGAAUAAUCAUAAAGCUGAAAAUUGAAAAUUCACAAAUGCAAUCGAAACCGAAUUAAGUCCGAAAUCGUGACAUAUGGAAGCUACAAAUAAAACUCCACCACAACUUAAACACGCAUAAAUAAAUAGCGGAUUUUGAAUCGUGUAAACCAGCCGAAAUCAAAGCAUAAUGCUAACAUAACGCAGUAUAAACAACAAAGUGUAUCAAUGCGAAACAAAACAAAAUC